GUGAACAUCAUGUUACUGAGUCUCCUCUUUAUUCCAAGUGAGCCGUCUCAGUCAUUUACAAGCCUUCGACUGCUUGUCCUGAGUAUUCAGACCUCUUCAUCACUGCACCAACAGACAUGGAAGCUCUGAGUGGAUCAUGUUUACAAAUCCCAUGUAACUUUAGUGCUGCUGGACCAGUAAAGUUUGACAGCAGAAGAGCUGUCUUCGGAGUGUGGAUUAAAAAUCAGUCCAAUGUUAUUAAAUUUCCAAAAAAUGAGAUCUUCAACAGCAGUGAGACAAUUAACACCUAUCCAAUGAAUAUUACAGGAAACCUGAAGGAGAAAAACUGCACCACUCUGUUUUUCAAUUUAACCACAACUUAUACAAACACAUACUACUUCAGAAUUAUGAACUGGCCGUUCCGAGCAACAGCUGCUUGUGAUCCUCUUAAAAUAACAAUUAAAGAUUCUCCUUGGAGGCCCAAUAUUACAAUCCCGGGUAAUCUGAAGGAGAAGGAGUCUGUCACUAUAACCUGCUCAGCUCUCACUCCCUGUCCACACUCCCCUCCUCAACUCACCUGGAAUCUCACACAAGACUCUCACAACAAAACAGAGGAAAACACAGAUGGAAGCUUACAACUAAAAUCCAGCAGACCAUCACUCUGUCAGACACACAUGAUGGAAAGAAGAUCAGCUGCUCUGCCAGAUAUCCUGUGAACCAAGGAAAAGACACCAAGACAGCAGAGACAGAAGAGACUCUCAGUGUUUCAUGUAAGACAAUCAGAGUUUGUUGCUGAA